UGUCUCAAUUGAAUAACUGUCUUUGUUUCUCACUUCUGUAAUAUGCUUCCCCCUGAACAGAUCUCUCCCUCCCCCCUCUCCACCCCCAAAAUGCUUAAAAGGUAACCUGACUCUUUGUUCUGGGCUCAGUCCUUUGGAUAUUAAUCUGACUGGGUUGGCUGGUGCACCUAAAUAAUACAUAUAUCCUCCUCAACCCCAUCGGUCUCUCUGAUUCCUAAAUCAUCCCCAAACAUUUCUGGUGGCCCAUAUGGGGAUUGGAGAUAACAGAUUUACUGUCUCCUUUGCCCAUGGGACUAGGGCCCUGGGGCUGUGGAAGACCUGGCAUCCAAGGCAUGCCAUGGGGGAGUUUCACCCGGAUGGAGACUGGCUCUCCCCGCAUCCUGCCCAGCAGUGCAACUGAACCUGAGAUGGGGCUGCAGGAUGACACCAGCACUUCAGGAACCGCGUUGCAGGUGUCACACCUUGGAUUCACCAUAGCUGGCUGAAACUAGCAGCAGCAGUGACUCCCGACUAUGACCAGUGGAUUAACCAACAAGACCCUGAUUGCCCCACCCGAAUAGACCUACGGCGAAUCCCAACCACCAGUAAGAAGGACAACUGCCCUGCUCUGACCACACUGGAGGCUGGUCAGUCUACACAUGGCUGAAGCUUGAAGAUCUUGCAAGCUCUGCUCUAGUCACAUCCUGGAAGCUGACUAGUCUACACACAGCCGAAGCUAAGAGGACCAUCUCUAGAUAAGCAUUGUGAAGACCCUGUUUCUCCAGCUGUGCAGCUGCAUGGUCACUAGACAGAUAAACUCAAGUUGUAAAACAUGUUUUUCCUUGAAAAGUAAGAAAUGAUGUAAUACAUGUCUCAACUGAAUAACUGUCUUUGUUUCUCACUUCUGUAGUAAGCUUCCCCCUGCACAGAUCUCCCCUCUCACCCCAUGAAAUGCUUAAAAGGUAACCUGACUCUUUGUUCAGGGCUCAGUCCUUUGGAUGUUAAUCUGACUGGGCUGGUGCACCUAAAUAAUAAAUACAUCCUCCUCAACCCCACUGGUCUCUCUGAUUCCUAAAUUAUCCCACAACAACUGUACUCAGAGAUUAUAUUCAUCAGACCAGAGACUCAC
rnacentral:lncRNA from 1 species